GACGAACGCUGGUGGCGUGCUUAACACAUGCAAGUCGAACGGGAUUUAGUAAACAGAAGCCUCGGUGGAAGAUUACUAAUGAGAGUGGCGAACGGGUGAGUAACGCGUGAGCAACCUGCCUAUGACAGUGGGAUAGCCUCGGGAAACCGGGAUUAAUACCGCAUAAAAUCGUAGAAACACAUGUUUUAACGGUCAAAGAUUUAUCGGUCAUAGAUGGGCUCGCGUCUGAUUAGCUAGUUGGUGAGAUAACAGCCCACCAAGGCGGCGAUCAGUAGCCGGUCUGAGAGGAUGAACGGCCACAUUGGAACUGAGACACGGUCCAAACUCCUACGGGAGGCAGCAGUGGGGAAUAUUGCACAAUGGGGGAAACCCUGAUGCAGCGACGCCGCGUGAACGAAGAAGGUAUUCGUAUCGUAAAGUUCUGUCCUAUGGGAAGAUAAUGACAGUACCAUAGAAGAAAGCUCCGGCUAAAUACGUG
rnacentral:rRNA from 1 species